AUGUUAUUGUAAAUUUUCAGAUUAUUUACCUGACUUCUCUCUGGGAAGGUGAACCCGACGCGCUCUCCCUGUUCCCCUCGCUGAGUGCAGCUGCCCGCGUUUGCACAUGGAGACUGUUGGACCCACACAGGGCUCUGAAAGGUGAGCAAUGAGACAUCAGACCAGAAAGAAAGUCACUGGGACUCAUGGAAGGACAUGGUAGUAGUUCCUGAGUUCCUUUUGCCUCGUAUUUCCCAGACUGGAUCUGGAGAAGCCAGGACCUGGACACAUCAGCAGGGACAGGGAGGACCCUUCAAGUCAAAGCAGCAGGACAGAACGAGCAGAGAGGAAAGCAGGACAUCCUCAGCAGACAGACAACCAGGCAGUGUGUCACCAGCAGAUCUGCUCUAAAGAAUCGUUCAAGUGUCUUAAAGAGAAAGCAAAUUAUAAAAUAGGGAAUCUUGGGUCACCCUGGAGGAAAAGAAAACACAAAAAGACACAUUUAUGGGUAAGUGAAUGGACUACCUUACCGUUUUGAGAUUUCUAAGUUACAUUUUACAGUUGGAACCAAAGUGACGGUGUUGCCUACGGUUGGGCUCAGGGUAGAGGAAGAAGGCAGAUGAGGGGGGAUAACGGGUGGCACUGGGGGUGAGGUCCCAGGGCCUCACUCAACGUGGGAGAACAUGGACAGC
rnacentral:lncRNA from 1 species